rnacentral:rRNA from 1 species
UAGGGAAUCUUCCACAAUGGGCGCAAGCCUGAUGGAGCAACACCGCGUGAGUGAAGAAGGGUUUCGGCUCGUAAAGCUCUGUUGUUAAAGAAGAACACGUAUGAGAGUAACUGCUCAUACGUUGACGGUAUUUAACCAGAAAGUCACGGCUAACUACGUGCCAG